rnacentral:rRNA from 1 species
CAGUCGCCGCGGUAAUACGUAGGGUGCGAGCGUUAAUCGGAAUUACUGGGCGUAAAGCGUGCGCAGGCGGUUGUGUAAGACAGGUGUGAAAUCCCCGGGCUUAACCUGGGAACUGCGCUUGUGACUGCACAGCUAGAGUAUGGCAGAGGGGGGUGGAAUUCCACGUGUAGCAGUGAAAUGCGUAGAGAUGAGGAGGAACACCGAUGGCGAAGGCAGCCCCCUGGGCCAAUACUGACGCUCAUGCACGAAAGCGUGGGGAGCAAACAGGAUUAGAUACCCCCGUAGUCCCUGUCUCUUAUAC